CGGGGCUCGAUCAGCUCAACUGUCAAGCAGCUGAACGGACGCUGUCUCUCAUGGUUGUUUUCACUAAUUUCAGAAAUGGUCGGUGUCUACAGAAAAAAGUCCGUUAGCAUCUCAACUGUAAAGCUAACUACAAGAGAUUCUUCCAUGCUGAUGGCCGUGCGUGUAUCCAGCUAAAGAACAUUUUUAGACAUGAUGAAACAUAUAACUAAGUUUAGCUCCAACCCCAGUUAAGCAGACCUGAGCAGCUGAUCAAGGAUCAGCAGAAACUCUGCAGAACGCUGGUCCUCCAGCCCAGGACUGGACACCAGUGUUAUGCUAAAGAAAGAACAGCAAGGCUAAAGCAUUCAAAGUGGAAACAUCUGCCAUCUGCCAUCUUAAACAUUGAUAAUCAGAAAUGUUUCUUGAGCAGCAAAUCAUAUAUUAUAAUGAUUUCUGAAGAUCAUGUAACACUGAAGACUGGAGUAAUUGUGUUAAAAAUUCA